rnacentral:rRNA from 1 species
UACGUAGGGACCAAGCGUUGUUCGGAUUUACUGGGCGUAAAGGGCGCGUAGGCGGCGUGGUAAGUCACUUGUGAAAUCUCUGAGCUUAACUCAGAACGGCCAAGUGAUACUGCUGUGCUAGAGUGCAGAAGGGGCAAUCGGAAUUCUUGGUGUAGCGGUGAAAUGCGUAGAUAUCAAGAGGAACACCUGAGGUGAAGACGGGUUGCUGGGCUGACACUGACGCUGGAGGCGCGAAAGCCAGGGGAGCAAACGGG